UUAGGGUUUGAAUUCGAUUUUAUGUUAUUGUAAUUGAUUAUUAGAAACUAAUUUGGAAAUUUAUUUUGUUUGAAUUGAAGAGUAAGGUAAUGUCGGCAAUUGGCUCGGGUUUCUGGACGAUUGUGGAUAUGGAAAGCGGUCCUUAUCUCUGGAACUAUUUCUCUGGAAUUCUGGAGAAAUCUAUCUUAGGUUUGUAAGGCGUAUCUCUUAGAAAACCGAGCGUUUAGACCUUGAAGAGGUAGUGAUUGGAGGACGACGUUUAAAAAAUCGCUUGGAACUUCAGGAUGAUCGUGAACCUUGCUACGAAACUUGAUGCCAUAGGUGAAUCAAAAUCAAUGCUCAUAAUUGUGUUUGUAGGUUGCUCGAUCUCUGUUUUGUUUAUAUGGCCUGUUUUAUUUAAAAUUUUCAUCGAAUCAUUGUUUUGUCCUCUAUGUUAAAUACUGCGCGAUGUUAGAGUCGCAUAUGUGAAA